GUAAAUUAACAAAUCCUUAUGUCUUUACAAUAUCUCAUCAUACGAAAUCAAUAUCUAUCUAUUUUAAUAUUAACCUGAAUUCUUUUCAAACAGUUACUACAGUUCAGCUAACAACCUAACCAGUUUUAUCACUAAACCUAUUACACGCAUGAUUUGUUCGCGGCGUUGGUCAAGUGGAAAGCGCAAGUAACCGCGCAUUUGCCACUUGACCGCCAGAACAUAAACACCUUAUAUAUCUUUGAUAUAUUGUUCUGCGUCAUUAUUACAGGUUAGUGAUAAAUCAAUUUAUAAACUUUAAACUUUGUAUUGUUAUAAUCUCUGUUCUAAUUAAAUGCAACGUAAGGUAUUGAUUGUAUUGAUUGUAUUUAUUGUAUUUAUUGUAUUUAUUGUAUUUAUUGUAUUUAUUGUAUUUAUUGUAUUUAUUGUAUUUAUUGUAUGUAUUGUAUGUAUUGUAUUGACUGUAUUUAUUGUAUUCAUUGGAUUACAAUAUUGCCAUGUUUUUACAAAUGCUAUUACUGUUAUUGUUGUAUAAUAAUGGUGAUUAAUGUAGGCAUUUGCCACUUGACCGCCAGAACAUAAACACCUUAUAUAUCUUU